GAUGAACGCUGGCGGCGUGCCUAAUACAUGCAAGUCGAACGGGGAGUAGCAAUACUCUUAGUGGCGAACGGGUGAGUAACGCGUUGGUACCUGCCCCGAAGCGGGGGAUAACGGACCGAAAGGUCCGCUAAUACCCCAUGUGCUCGGUAACGAGUAAAGGUGAAAACCACUUUGGGAGGGGCCUGCGUCCCAUCAGCUAGUUGGUAAGAUAACGGCUUACCAAGGCGAUGACGGGUAGGGGACCUGAGAGGGUGGCCCCCCACAAUGGAACUGAAACACGGUCCAUACACCUACGGGUGGCAGCAGUAGGGAAUAUUGGUAAUGGGCGCAAGCCUGAACCAGCAACGCCGCGUGUGCGAUGACGGCCUUCGGGUUGUAAAGCACUUUUGACUGGGACGAGGAAGGACGGUACCGGUCGAAUCAGCCUCGGCUAACUACGUG
rnacentral:rRNA from 1 species